rnacentral:rRNA from 1 species
AUUGAACGCUGGCGGAAUGCUUUACACAUGCAAGUCGAGCGGCAGCGCGGGGGCAACCCUGGCGGCGAGCGGCGAACGGGUGCGUAAUACAUCGGAACAUGUCCAGUUGUGGGGGAUAGCCCGGCGAAAGCCGGAUUAAUACCGCAUGAGCUCUGGCGAGGAAAGCGGGGGACCGAAAGGCCUCGCGCGACUGGGUUGGCCGAUGUCCGAUUAGCUAGUUGGUGGGGUAAAGGCCUACCAAGGCGAUGAUCGGUAGCUGGUCUGAGAGGA